GAGUUGUAUGAACUUAUUGUUUUUAAUGAAUAUCUUCUUUUAUUUUAUGUUUAAUUUCUGUGAUUUUAAAUAUGAAGUUUAUACAACUGUUCUUCAUGAUCACUAAGUAAAUAUAAGAUAGUCCAUGCUUAGGGAAGAUGCGAUGUGCUGCCACCUUAGAUUAGGGUAGACAUUUCAUGCUAACUGAAGAUGGAUUAUGCCUAAAUUACUUUUAUGAAUUUCUAUUUAAAUGCUUAUUAGGCUUGUAGCUAAUUUGCAUGUUAAUCCAAGAAUAAAUUGAAAUACAAUUAACCCUUGUUCCGAUGUUAGUGGUGAAUUCCUUGUCCUAGGUUCCCUCAAACUGAUAACAUUUUAAUUAUUAAAUUCCUUAGUUUAAUUUUCUUCACAAACUCUUCCUUUUAAAUAUUUUUAUUUUUUUUAAGAAAACAACUGUACCCCAAUCCCUGUGGAUCGAUACCCGUAAUCACUAUCCUACUAGAUACGUGCUAUUGCGUGGUCUUUAAAGUUGACUAUCAAUUUUUGGCGCCGUUGCCGGGGAUUGUUAGUAUAGUUGUUUUUCUUUUCAUAUAUAUAUA
rnacentral:lncRNA from 1 species